rnacentral:lncRNA from 1 species
GCCAUUUUCGAGUGAUGCCUGAUCUCAUCAAUCUAGCGGGAGGGAAGGGAUAACCUGUCCGAGCCUAGCGCGACGCUAGGAUCACGCCGGAAAAUCCCCCAAAAAUCAUCAAAAAAAUUAACUUAGAGCAGAGGGCAGUCGGUGGGGCUUCGCCAGAUGCGGCGCAGUCGAUUUUAACCAUUAGAAGAAUACCAGUUCUGGAAAACAACCAAAGUUUCUUUGAUUGAAUGCCCAUGUAAUGCAUUGGAAUAUGAUAGGCGAUUAAGGUUUAACAAUGUUAAAAUGAAGAUAUUACUAAAAUGGCCCUCUAAAUAGCCCAACAAUUAUUAUUUUCUUUGUCCUAUGGAUUUGGCUUUGAAAGAUGUGCUGCUCUUAAUAAGAUUAAAGGUUCAUAAUUAAUUCUACCGUGUGUUGUGGAGAUCCUAAAAGUAUUUCAGUUAUUUUUUAAGGAAUUGUCCUCAAAAGAACCACUACUCAAUUCUAAUUUAAAGUGUGUAGUCAUUAAACCCAGAACCUCAGAGGGCUCUACUACUAAACCAUAUACCAGUACCAAAACCGAAAAAUAUUGACGAUACUUUUGUGCUGAAUAUUCCUCAGCCUUAACUUACUAAUGCUUAUGCCCAAUGGAUCUUCCUUCAUGAAGUACCCUCUCCUCCCCCCCAUUUAUCUUUGGUGAUUUUAAUAAAUAAUACCUUUGGAAAA